CGUGUAGGCGGGAAUAUAAGUCAGAUGUGAAAUACCGAGGCUUAACUUCGGGGCUGCAUCUGAAACUAUGUUUCUUGAGUGUCGGAGAGGAAAGUGGAAUUCCCAGUGUAGCGGUGAAAUGCGUAGAUAUUGGGAGGAACACCAGUGGCGAAGGCGACUUUCUGGACGAUAACUGACGCUGAGGCGCGAAAGCGUGGGGAGCAAACAGGAUUAGAUACCCUGGUAGUCCACGCUGUAAACGAUGGAUACUAGGUGUAGGAGGUAUCGACCCCUUCUGUGCCGCAGUUAACACAAUAAGUAUCCCACCUGGGGAGUACGGCCGCAAGGUUGAA
rnacentral:rRNA from 1 species